AAUUGUUCGCAAUGGGCGCAAGCCUGACGACGCAACGCCGCGUGGAGGACGAAGAUUUUCGGAUCGUAAACUCCUUUCGAUCGGGAAGAACAGUUGUGGGGUGAACAGCCCCGCAGCGUGACGGUACCGGACGAAUAAGCACCGGCUAACUACGUGCCAGCAGCCGCGGUAAUACGUAGGGUGCGAGCGUUAAUCGGAAUUACUGGGCGUAAAGCGGGCGCAGGCGGUUUUGUAAGCCAGAUGUGAAAUCCCCGGGCUUAACCUGGGAAUGGCAUUUGGGACUGCAAGGCUGGAGUGUGGCAGAGGAGACUGGAAUUCCCGGUGUAGCAGUGAAAUGCGUAGAUAUCGGGAGGAAUACCGAUGGCGAAGGCAGGUCUCUGGGCUGACACUGACGCUCAUGCACGAAAGCGUGGGGAGCAAAC
rnacentral:rRNA from 1 species